GAUUUAUAAAGAAGCGUGGAGAGACUGGCUCUUUGAAGCGCUAGCAACCAUUCCGAAAACCAUUGGAAAAGGUGCUAAGUCCAGAUCCCAAAGGGUGUCGAGUGACAUUCGGGAGAAUAUAAAUU
rnacentral:ncRNA from 2 species